rnacentral:rRNA from 1 species
UACGGGGGGGGCGAGCAUUUUUCGGUAUGACUAGGUAUAAAGUGUUUUAAGACUGAUAAAUGUAGUUUUUAAAUAAAUAUUAAAGCUUAACUUUAAGGAAUUUAAAAAAACGGUUUGUCUUGAGUAUUUAUAGAAAAUAAUGGAAUUUUUAUUGAAGAAAUAAAAUGUUAAGAUAAUAAAAAGACCAACAAAGGCGAAGGCAAUUAUUUAUUUAUAUACUGACGUUGAUAAACGAAAGCUGAGGUAGCGGAUGGG